rnacentral:rRNA from 1 species
AGAGUUUGAUCAUGGCUCAGGAUGAACGCUAGCGGCAGGCUUAACACAUGCAAGUCGAGGGGCAGCACGAUGUAGCAAUACAUGGGUGGCGACCGGCGCACGGGUGCGUAACACGUAUGGAACUUGCCCUUUACUGGGGGAUAGCCCGGAGAAAUCCGGAUUAAUACCCCAUAACAGCUUGAGUGGCAUCACUCGGGUUUGAAAGCUCCGGCGGUAAAGGAUGGCCAUGCGCCCGAUUAGCUAGUUGGUGAGGUAACGGCUCACCAAGGCUACGAUCGGUAGGGGGCCUGAGAGGGUUAUCCCCCACACUGGUACUGAGACACGGACCAGACUCCUACGGGAGGCAGCAGUGAGGAAUAUUGCGCAAUGGAGGCAACUCUGACGCAGCCAUGCCGCGUGCAGGAAGAAGGCGCUACGCGUUGUAAACUGCUUUUAUCCGGGAAGAAACCCCUCGACGUGUCGAGGGUUGACGGUACCGGAGGAAUAAGCACCGGCUAACUUCGUGCCAGCAGCCGCGGUAAUACGAAGGGUGCAAGCGUUAUCCGGAUUCAUUGGGUUUAAAGGGUGCGUAGGUGGGGCGAUAAGUCAGUGGUGAAAUCCUGCAGCUCAACUGUAGAAUUGCCAUUGAUACUGUCGCUCUUGAGUACGCUUGACGUGGGCGGAAUGUGCCGUGUAGCGGUGAAAUGCUUAGAUAUGGCACAGAACACCGAUAGUGAAGACAGCUCACGAAGGCGAAACUGACACUGAGGCACGAAAGCGUGGGGAUCGAACAGGAUUAGAUACCCUAGUAGUCC